rnacentral:rRNA from 1 species
UACGUAGGUGGCAAGCGUUGUCCGGAAUUAUUGGGCGUAAAGCGCGCGCAGGUGGUUUCUUAAGUCUGAUGUGAAAGCCCACGGCUCAACCGUGGAGGGUCAUUGGAAACUGGGGAACUUGAGUGCAGGAGAGAAGAGUGGAAUUCCACGUGUAGCGGUGAAAUGCGUAGAAAUGUGGAGGAACACCAGUGGCGAAGGCGACUCUUUGGCCUGUAACUGACACUGAGGCGCGAAAGCGUGGGGAGCAAACAGG